AUACGUAGGGGGCAAGCGUUAUCCGGAUUUACUGGGUGUAAAGGGAGCGUAGACGGAAGGCCAAGUCUGAUGUGAAAGCCCGCGGCUCAACUGCGGGACUGCAUUGGAAACUGGUCAUCUGGAGUGCAGGAGGGGUAAGCGGAAUUCCUAGUGUAGCGGUGAAAUGCGUAGAUAUUAGGAGGAACACCGGUGGCGAAGGCGGCUUACUGGGAUGUAACUGACGUUGAGGCUCGAAAGCGUCGGGAGCAAACAGGAUUAGAUACCCUGGUAGUCCACGCUGUAAACGAUGAUUACUAGGUGUUGGGGACCAAAGGUCCUCGGUGCCGCCGCAAACGCAUUAAGUAAUCCACCUGGGGAGUACGUUCGCAAGAAUGAAACUCAAAGGAAUUGACGGGG
rnacentral:rRNA from 1 species